CUUCAGUGGAGUAGAGACUUGAGUGGAGACUUUAGUCCCUAAAGUAGUAGAGACUAUAAGUGUUUCUUGGCCUGGGACUUCAUGGGUGCUCAGAAAUUAGCUUUUGAAAUAAGAGUAAUGCUUUAUUUACGUGGAGGAGGCCUGAAUUUAGACUACCUGACACCCUCACUGAGAAGAACAUGAGCCUGACUGUCAGAUCUAUUUCUUUUUCAGUUUUAUUUCAUUCAUUUAGUUAUUCAAUAGAGAAAACAAAUAGCUAAUAUUGUAACUACAGCUAGUUCCUGUAGUUCAGAGUCACAGUGGAAAUUUCCUCUCCUAUCCCCAGCUACCCCCCUACAAAGUAAUGACUACUAUUGCUUCAUUGUGGAUCCUGUCAGCUUUUUAAUGCAUAUAUAAGAAUGUAUACAAUGUGUUCUUAUAUUUAUACCAUUUUUUAAACAUAAGAGGUACCUUCUCUACAAAUGGUUUUCUGUUUACUUUUUUCACAUAACUGCAUCUUGGGGGUCUUGGCUUGUCAGUGGAUGGUGGCUGGUCUGCUGGAGGAGUUCCUAGCAGUUGUCCUGCCCUGAGGCCCUAAGGGCAGGGGUUGUAAGGAGGCAGAUGCCACUGCAGUGCCCCCCCCCCCCGCCACGACCCCCGCGCGCGCGCAAAUACACACACACACAGGCUUUGGAGUGCUGUGUGGGUGGAGCGAACGGAGAAGGACUGUGGCGGACACACUUGGCUCAGCUCUAAUGUGUGUUUUUUUAAACAGACAGGACAAGUUAACAUUUUUAAUUCAGUAGUAUUGUUUCUUCACUAAUUUGUUCUGUUUAUUCUUUUUCCCAGUCUGAAGUGCUGAGGUUUUAGUGAAAAAUGUUGCCCAGAUAUAGAGACAGACUCAAAACCAU
rnacentral:lncRNA from 1 species